rnacentral:rRNA from 1 species
GACGAACGCUGGCGGCGUGCCUAAUACAUGCAAGUAGAACGCACAGUUUAUACCGUAGCUUGCUACACCAUAAACUGUGAGUUGCGAACGGGUGAGUAACGCGUAUGUAACCUGCCUGGUAGCGGGGGAUAACUAUUGGAAACGAUAGCUAAUACCGCAUAAUAUUAAUUAUUGCAUGAUAAUUGAUUGAAAGAUGCAAUUGCAUCACUACCAGAUGGACCUGCGUUGUAUUAGCUAGUAGGUGAGGUAACGGCUCACCUAGGCGACGAUACAUAGCCGACCUGAGAGGGUGAUCGGCCACACUGGGACUGAGACACGGCCCAGACUCCUACGGGAGGCAGCAGUAGGGAAUCUUUGGCAAUGGACGAAAGUCUGACCGAGCAACGCCGCGUGAGUGAAGAAGGUUUUCGGAUCGUAAAGCUCUGUUGUAAGAGAAGAACGGGUGUGAGAGUGGAAAGUUCACACUGUGACGGUAUCUUACCAGAAAGGGACGGCUAACUACGUG